CCUCUUCCGCCUAAAAAUCUCCAUCUCUCCUGCCAGAAAGAAGCAUCUGUACAAAUCCCCUGGCUCCUGACGGCGACAAUGACUUCUUUGAUAAACUACCCAUGUGUGUGAGGAGGGACAGAAGGAUGGAGACAGCAAAUGGGAAAAUGAGUUUUCCCCGUUCAGAUUAAUGUAUAUGAGGAUUUGGCCUGUUCUAUGGGUUUUUCGAGCUAACCACCAGGCUACUUGGGUAAGAUACACAAUGGCAAGAUACACGCUGAACAACAGAACUGGAGCGGUUUCAGAGCACACUGUCACAUGGCUACUUCACCUGGAGCUGCCUGGAAGCCAGACUUCUCUUAGCGGCCUUCAGAUGAAGAUGUAGAACUCUCAGCUCCUCCUGCACCCUGCCUGCCUGGACGCUGCCAUGUUCCUGUCUUGAUGAUAAUGAACUGAACCUCUGAACCUGUAAGCCAGCCCCAAUUAAAUGUUGUCCUCAUAAGA